rnacentral:misc_RNA from 1 species
GCAAACUUGGUCAUUUAGAGGAAGUAAAAGUCGUAACAAGGUUUCCGUAGGUGAACCUGCGGAAGGAUCAUCAUUAAAUCCAAUUUAUACACCCUUGUGAACUGUGCGCUGAAAUCGCUACGCUUGGUCGUGCGAUUUCACUUGCAAAAACCACUUAUUUAAAGAAAGCUGAAGCAAUUGUAUUAAUUGAAACAACUUUCAACAAUGGAUCUCUUGGCUCUCUAGAGGAAGUAAAAGUCGUAACAAGGUUUCCGUAGGUGAACCUGCGGAAGGAUCAUCAUUAAAUCCAAUUUAUACACCCUUGUGAACUGUGCGCUGAAAUCGCUACGCUUGGUCGUGCGAUUUCACUUGCAAAAACCACUUAUUUAAAGAAAGCUGAAGCAAUUGUAUUAAUUGAAACAACUUUCAACAAUGGAUCUCUUGGCUCUCGCAUCGAUGAAGAACGCAGC